rnacentral:rRNA from 1 species
UACGUAGGGUGCAAGCGUUGCUCGGAAUUAUUGGGCGUAAAGGGUAGGUAGGUGGUCUCAUUUGUCUGGGGUGAAAGCCUUGAGCUUAACUCAAGAAGUGCCCCAGAAACGGUGAGACUGGAGUCCUGGAGAGGGAAGUGGAAUUCCCGGUGUAGUGGUGAAAUGCGCAGAUAUCGGGAGGAACACCGGUGGCGAAGGCGGUUCUCUGGGCCUGUACUGACGCUGAGGAGCGAAAGCGUGGGGAGCGAACAGG